GCCAUCCCAGUUCGGAUUGCAGGCUGAAACCCGCCUGUAUGAAGUUGGAAUCGCUAGUAAUCGCGGAUCAGCAUGCCGCGGUGAAUACGUUCCCGGGCCUUGUACACACCGCCCGUCACACCAUGAGAGUCGGGAACACCCGAAGUCCGUAGCCUAACCGCAAGGGGGGCGCGGCCGAAGGUGGGUUCGAUAAUUGGGGUGAAGUCGUAACAAGGUACC
rnacentral:rRNA from 1 species